CUAAGGCAUUAGGAUAAAGAGGAUUUUUUUUUAGUCCUCUUUUUAGUCAACUUUAGCAUGGGUUAAUAAACUUCUGAGCACCAC